rnacentral:tRNA from 1 species
GCACCCGUAGCUCAGUCGGAUAGAGCAACGGAUUUCUAAUCCAUAGGUCGGGUGCCCGAGUCACCCCGGGCGCG